rnacentral:lncRNA from 1 species
AGAAAUCUAUUAUUCACUACAUGUUACUAGGUAAGGAGAUAAUAAAGAUUUGACAGAGAGACCAUCCGUCAUCGGUUAGGAUGAACAUAUCAAGGAUGACUUGAUGGGAACCGCCAGGAAAGAAAAUUCAUUACCGGUUACUGGGUAAGAAUAGCCUUGCUAGGGAAAACUGCAGCAAAGCAUAGGAUUUACAACUACCAGUUACUGGGUAGAAGACCAAAGGGUGAGAG